GCUGGGUACGGUGGCGUGCACCUGUAAUCCCACCUACUCGGGAGGCUGAGGCAGGAGAAUCGCUUGAGCCCAGGAAACUGAGGCUGCAGUGAGCUGAGAUCAUGCCACUGCACUCCAGCCUAGGCAACAGAGCGAGACUGCGUCUUUA
ensembl:misc_RNA Metazoa_SRP Metazoan signal recognition particle RNA